rnacentral:tRNA from 1 species
GUUGGGAUGACCGAGUUGGUCUAAGGCGCCAGAUUAAGGUUCUGUCCGAAAGGGCGUGGGUUCAAAUCCCACUCUCAACA